AGAAUGAAAAGCAAGAAAAAAAAAGGGGGGGAAAAUAUGAGAAAGAAAAUAAAGAUUUGCAAGCAAAGCAACGGUGGGUGUACAAAGAAAGCCCUAAAAACCUGUUUUCUGGCACAAGAAACCAAGUGCCGAACUAUGGAAGUAGAAGUUCAAAGAGAAGCAAAAACUGAGUUCAAAUUGAAGUUUCAAUACGAAGAGAAUAUAUACUGAAGCAGAGAAAUGAAAGGAAGAAGCUAGGAAUCGAAAC
rnacentral:misc_RNA from 1 species